rfam:Erinaceus europaeus unplaced genomic scaffold scaffold00303, whole genome shotgun sequence
GGAUGUGAGGGCGAUCUGGCUGCAACAUCUGUCACCCCACUGAUCGCCAGGGUUGAUUUGGCUGAUCUGGCUGGCUAGCUGGGUGUCUCCUUCCUCCCUCACUGCUCCAUGUGCGUCCCUUCCAAAGCUGCGUGCUCCGUCAAAGAGGACGGCCUUGCCCGAAUAGAGACGGACUAGUCUUCAGUCCAGGGUAUAAGAGUAGCUGCACUCCCCUGCUAGAACCUCCAAACGAGCUCUCAAGAAUUACUUUGUUUCCAGUUUUUAUUAUUAUGAAUAAUGCUGCUGUAUACACACACACACACACACACACACACACACACAGAUACUUUAUCUCAAAUUAAAUUUUGGU